rnacentral:rRNA from 1 species
UACGUAGGGUGCAAGCGUUAAUCGGAAUUACUGGGCGUAAAGCGUGCGCAGGCGGUUUUGUAAGUCUGUCGUGAAAGCCCCGGGCUUAACCUGGGAAUGGCCGUUGAAACUGGCGAACUGGAGUGUGGCAGAGGGGGGUGGAAUUCCGCGUGUAGCAGUGAAAUGCGUAGAGAUGCGGAGGAACACCGAUGGCGAAGGCAGCCCCCUGGGCUGACACUGACGCUCAGGCACGAAAGCGUGGGGAGCAAACAGG